rnacentral:rRNA from 1 species
GGAUCAAUAUUUCGGUCAUGCCGUUGGUAUGCACUGUUAUCAUUGAUUUCUCACCUUCUAAAGAACCGUGAUGCCAUUAAUUUGGUGUCACGGGGAAUUAGGACUGUUACCUUGAAAAAAUUAGAGUGUUUAAAGCAGGCUCACGCUUGAAUACAUUAGCAUGGAAUAAUGAAAUAGGACAUCCGAUUCUAUUUUGUUGGUUUCUAGGAUCGAUGUAAUGAUUAAUAGGGAUAGUUGGG